rnacentral:lncRNA from 1 species
GUUUAAUCUUAUAUCUAUGAUUUUUUUUAACUUUUUAUUUCUGAUAUUUUUCCUAUGCAAUUUGCUUUGGAAAUUCAACAUAGAUAAUUAGGUCAUUUAGACAAAUAAAUACUAUUUCACUUCUCUUGCAGUCUGAUGAUUUUUAUUUAUUUUGUUUUCUUACCAAGCUGACCCAAACCUGCAGUAUAAUAUUGAAUAAAAAAGGUGAAAGUGAUCACUGUGCUUCAUCCAUCCAUAGUUUUGGAAGGAAAACAUUUAUUAGUCUUUCUUCAUUAAGUAUGAUCUUAGCUAUAGGUUUCCACAGGUGCCUUUAUGAGAUUUAGGAAGUUCCUUCUAUUCAUAGAUUCUAAAAAUAAUAAUAAAAAUCAAUUUUAUCCCUUUUAAAAUUAAUGUGGUAUAUCAAUAUUAAUUUUUGGAUGUUAAGCUAAUCUUGCAUUCUGGGAUAAAUACCACUUUGUCACGGUGUAUAAUCUUUCUAUAUUUUCUGGAGUAAUACUUGUUUUAAUUAAUUAAUUAAAUUAGUUAAUUAAUUAAUUAAUACUGUAAUACUUGUUUUAAGAUUUUUGAAUCCAUAUACCAUCUACCAAGGAUAUGAAUUUGUAUUUUUAUAUUCUUGUUGGGUUUUUUUUUUUUUUUGGAUUCCAUUAGUGUCCUUCGUUUCAAAGUCUGCCUCUCCAGAGAUUGUUUCCAACUUUGUCUCUUAGUAAACACUGGCUCUAUCUGACUCUGUCCUCUGCACUGUCACAAUGGCUCAGUUGCCCAUUAGACUCACAAAAUCUUACCCAGCAAAAAACACUGUGCAAGGACUUCAAGAAAGGAGCUGCAUCCAACAUUAAUCUAUUUCUCUAAGAGUUUCUCUAUCUGUCAGAUGUUCCUCCAUAGACAAAGAUUUGGGAUUAUUUGAGUUUGCAUUUCAAAGGCUGACUAUGCUAGUUGAGUUAGCACAGGGAAGUUGCUUGGUUUGGUGACCUUCUAGCCUUUGAUCAAGGAAUGCUGUAUAACUAUGGUUAUGCAACUGAGCUUAGGGUCCCUAAUCCAAAAAUUCAGACUCAUUUAUUAAAAAAAGAAAAGAAAAGAAAACUAAUAUCCAGUUUGACCAAGUAUAUCCUGCCAGAGAAUUCCUUAGACAACACAAGAAAUAAGUAUAUAGAGAGUAUAGGAAGAAGCUCAUUAUGUUCUCGCUGGUCAGAUAUUUUACUUUGCUUUGAGAGUGCAAAUACCAAUAAAACCUGAUCUUUGUCCUGGAUAAAGAAGAAUUCACAUCUUUGAAGAACUAACACUGUGGGUAGAAUGUGAUUUCACCAAUUUUUGCAUAUUUUAUUGUUUUACACGCCAAACAACUUUGAUAAAUUGGUAUUAUUAACUUUAUUCUACUGAUAAGAAAAUAAAGAUUAAAGCAAGUAUUUCGGCUUCCA